rnacentral:misc_RNA from 1 species
UCCAGCUUAUCGCCGGCAGUUUCUGCAGAGUGCUUCUAACCUUACGAUUAGAGUGGCAACAGCAGACGUGGGUUGCGCUCGUUGCGGGACUUAACCCAACACUUCACAGCACGAGCUGACGACAGCCAUGCACCACCUGUACUAGCUCUCGACUUAACGAGUCCAUCCCCUUUCGGUUCAGUACUUCUAGCAUGUCAAACCCAGGUGAGGUUCUACGCGUAGCGUCGAAUUGAACCACAUGUUCCACCGCUUGUGCGGGCCCCCGUCAAUUCCUUUGAGUUUCAUCCUUGCGGACGUACUCCCCAGGUGGAGGACUUAAUGGGUUACCUGCGGCACCGACUUGAAAUUCAAGCCAACACCUAGUCCUCAUAGUUUACGGCGUGGACUAC